rnacentral:rRNA from 1 species
CACGUACUGUGCGAACGUUAAUCGGAAUUACUGGGCGUAAAGCGAGCGCAGGCAGUUCUGUAAGACAGAUGUGAAAGCCCCGGGCUUAACCUGGGAAUUGCAUUUGUGACUGCAGAGCUAGAGUGUGUCAGAGGGAGGUAGAAUUCCGCGUGUAGCAGUGAAAUGCGUAGAUAUGCGGAGGAAUACCGGUGGCGAAGGCGGCCUCCUGGGAUAACACUGACGCUCAUGCUCGAAAGCGUGGGAAGCAAACAGG